AUGGUAAUGAAUAGUUCUGAAUAUAUGUUAAUGAAUAUUUUUGAAUAUAUGUUAAUUAAUUUUCCUGAGAACAUGUUAAUGAAUAUUUUUUGAAUAUAUGUUACCGAAUACAUGUUAAUAUAGGAAUAUGUAAAUGUAGAUUAUGGAAUGAAAAUGAUAAUGAAUUGUAGAAUGUAAUAUGAAUGAUGUGGCUAUAUGAUGGAGGGUAUUGGGAAGAAAUUCCCUUAGUCUAAUGCAGGGGUUAUGAUAAUCCCUGGUAGGCAGUAUAUACUGAGUAUCUAUAUGCAUAUAUGUAUGGCUUGGGUGACAAAGGGUCAUCCAAGAAGAGACGGAUCUGGCCGGUCCUCUCUGGUAGACUUGGAUGAUGAGAUGCAUCAUCCAAGGCAAGGAAUUGAUCAUAUAUGAUGGUCUUCCUUGGUAUGGCUUGGGUGUAAGAAAUUACAUCCAAGACAGGAAUCGAAUUAACCUUCGAUUUCCUGGUAUGGCUUGGGUGUAAGAAAUUACAUCCAAGACAGGAAUCGAAUUAACCUUCUCAUUCCUGGUAUGGCUUGGAACCAAGAUGGGUUCCAAGAAGGCGAGCUUCACAGCCGCCUAAGGACAUGUCCCAGUACUACACUCGUAUCCUUUUUAUUAAAUAAGAAUUGAGAUUAGUUUUAAUUGAGUAAUUGAAGUUUAAUUGCAAAUUAGAUUAGUUAUAUAUAUAUAUUUGUUGUAUUCUAACAAUCUGUUUUGCAAGACAAUGAUCUCUAACUAGUAGGGACAUUACAGAGAAGCAUGAACAAGCAAGGAUAGUGGCAUCAAAAUUUUGGUUUUACAAUAAUAUACCUUUCAAUGUGGCAAACAAUGUGUAUUGGGAAGGUUUGGUUAAUGCAUUAACAGUUGCAGGUAAGAGAUUUAAGGCCCCAACAGGUCAUGACUUUAGGGGGCCAUUGCUAGAGCAAGCUGUAAGAAAUACACAAAUUGUGGUUGAUGAUUAGAAAUUUUUUUGGAGGAGAAAAGGAUGCAACAUUUUAUCUGAUGGAUGGAAUAGGACUCUUCUCAACUUCUUGGUGGCUUCAAGUGGUUCAAUGGUAUUCCUAAAGUCUUUAGAUGGUGUAAUCUAUUGGAUGGGGUGAUUCAGGAAGUUGGAGUUAAGAAUGUUGUCCAAAUUAUCAUGGACUACGCAGCUGCAUAUGUAUCUACAAGUUGAAUGCUUAUGGAGAGGCAUCCUACGAUUACAUGGAGUCCUUGUGCUGCACAUUGCUUGGACUUGUUGUUAGAGGACAUUGGGAAGAUUGGAUGGGUGAAAAAGGUGGUUGAAGAUGCAAGAAGUGUCACCAAUUUCAUCUAUAACCAUACUUGGGUCCUUGCUUUGAUGAGAAAACACACAAUGGCAAGGACCUUGUGCGACCUGGAGUGACAUGAUUUGCUAGCCACUUCAUCACUUUGCAGAGCAUUCUUGGUGCCAUUCCUCAUCUUAAGCAAAUGUUUGUGUCUGAUGCUUGGUCGGAGUCUGCAUACUCCAAAGGACCUGAAGUAGAGAAGAUUGUAAGCAUUGUUUUUGAUGAAGGGUUCACCAAAAGUGGAGAGGAGUUGACUGCGAUAAGUGAUAAAACCUUUGGUAAGGGUUCUUCGUAUGGUGGAUGGAGAGGGCAUGCCAAUGGGUUUCAUUUAUGAGGCCAUGGAUAGGGCCAAAGAGGCCAUUUCACAUUGCUAUCGUUGAAAUACAAGGAAAUGUGAAAUCCUUUGGUGCAUCAUUGAUCGUAGGUGGACAAACCAACUCAGCCAACUGAUACAUGCCUUCAUCUACUUCUUGUACCUGAAAUUCUACUUUUCUGAUUCAUUUAGGGCUGAUGAGGAGGUCAUGUCAGGUGUUGUUGCAUGCAUUGAUAAGAUGGCACUUGAUCCUGAUUUGAGAGACAGGGUUCCUGAUGAGUUGGAGAUCUACAAGAGUGCAAAGGGGAGACUCUUCUAUUCACAACAAGCAAUUGAUAGGAUACGAAAACAACAACCAGCCAUGCAGUGCUUCUGGUUGUGAACGGAAUUGGAGUUUAUUUGAGAGCAUUCACACAAAGAAGAAAUUAGAUUGACACAAAAGCGCCUCAGUGAUCUUGUCUUCGUUCGGUACAACCUUCGCCUUUGAGUUGAAAGGUGGAGGGUGCUUCACACGAGGCCAUUGACUUGGAUGAAAUUGAUCCAUAUGGUGAUUGGACCGUCAAUGAACAAAAUGAUGGUGAUGAUGUCCUCUUUACCGAAGAAGAACUUGCAGAAAUAGAGAGAGGAGCAUAACAAGAAGCAGAAGAAGCAAGAUUGGAUGAAAUGGAGGAGGAUUAAGAUGAGGACGAAAAUGAGGACUUUGAUUUAGAAGAAGAAUCAUCUCACCAUUUAGAUACCUCAACACCUAUUGCUACUACUACUAGCUGAAGGCCUCAAAAAUUGAGCUAUAUUAGGAGAACAAAGAGAAAGAUGUAGCCUUCUCUUUAGUUUGUUCAUUGUUGUUAUUCACAUUUGGACAUAUGAUUAUAUGUAAUUUUGUAAACAUUUAUAAACUUAUGCUGCUAUUAUACAUUUUAAAG